GGAGUGAGCUGGACGGCCGCGCGGUCCUCUUGGGGCCGUGAGGAAAGUCGGGGCUCCGCAGGGCAGAGUGCCUGCUAACGGCAGGGCGCGGCGACGCGACGGAAAGUGCCACAGAAAAGAAAACCCCCCGGGAGCGAUCUUCGGAGGAAAGCUGAAACGGUGCGGUAAGAGCGCACCAGCGUCACGGCAACGUGGCGGCUUGGCAAACCCCACUCGGAGCAAGGGCGAAUAGGAGCGGCAUAGGCUUGCCCGGCCUUCGCUCGGGUACGCCCGCUUGAGGCCGGUGGCGACAUCGGUCCCAGAUAAAUGGUCGUCCACGACAGAACCCCGCUUACAGGCUCACUCCACCC
rnacentral:RNase_P_RNA from 1 species